AUGGACGCGCCGGCCCCCGACAACAUCGCCGCUGAGGAGGGCGGGCAGCAACAGAUGCACCAGGACGAGAAGGAGCACAGGCCGAUGUUCAGGAGAGUCAAGGACAAGAUGAGGAAGAUCAAGAACACCAUCGCCGGCCACGGCCACGAUCACGAUCACGAUCACGAGCAGGACACCGGUGGCGGUGAUAGCAACAGCACCGGCGAGGACGAGGAGGAUGCGGCGACGAGGGAAGCCAAGGUGGAGAAGGGCGGAUACCAGCAGCAAGUCGUCGAGGACAAGCCCAUCUUCGCGGACUCCAGUCCCGAGCACGACGACGCUCCGGGGGUGCGACUUGGUGACCUUGGCGCCCCGGCAGCGGCGCAGGAGGUGAAGCGCGACGACGCUCCGGGGGUGCGGCUUGGUGACCUUGGCGCCCCGGAAGCGGAGCAGGAGGUGAAGCGCGACGACGCUCCGGGGGUGCGGCUUGGUGACCUUGGCGCCCCGGCAGCGGAGCAGGAGGUGAAGCGCGACGACGCUCCAGGGGUGCGGCUUGGUGACCUUGGCGCCUCGGCAGCGGCGCAGGAGGUGAAGCGCGACGACGCCGCGGGGAUGCGGCUCGGCGAUUUGGGCGGCCCGGCGUCGGCGCAGGAGGUGAAGCGCGACGACGCUCCGGGGGUGCGGCUCGGCGGUCUCGGCAGCCCUGUCAUCGAGGACCCGGCCGUGCCGAACUCGAGGACGCCCAUGCCGCGAGGUGGCCAAGACAUCGGCACGACGGACGCCAUCCGUAACUUCGAGGCGAUGACUGUGUCAGACGACCCCAAGCAAGUCGGCGCACGGAAGAUGGACGUCGACGUGAGCAAAGAGUAUGAGGCAAUGCCGGUGUCGGACGGCACCGGGGAGGAAUGGAACGACGCACCCACGGACGCCGACUACACCUGGAGCGACACGGACAGGCUCAAGAACACGGCAGCUGACACGGUAUAUGAGAAGGUCGCCGGCGUCGGCACGGUCAUGGCGAGCAAGGCGCAGGAGGUCACCCCCGGCUUCGGCGCUGGCGGGAACGCGCAGGACGACUCCAGCGCAACUGCCGCCCCUGAAUCGGUGACCGCCGGUGCAGGGAAGAGGGACCUCGACUUGCCGCAAGAGGGAACGCGGGCGUCCUACACCGGCACGGAGGGGCUGAAGAACGCGGCCACGGGCGCGACGGGCACGGAGGGGCUGAAGAACGCGGCCACGGGCGCGACGGGCACGGAGGGGCUGAAGAACGCGGCCACGGACGCGACGGGCACGGAGGGGCUGAAGAACGCGGCCACGGACGCGACGGGCACGGAGGGCGCGCCUGGCGCGACGUACACCGACAUGAUCAAGUCCGCGGCGGCGGGCACCACGGAGUACGGCAAGAAGCUGGCGAGCACGGUGUACGACAUGAUCAAGUCCGCGGUGGCGGGCGCCACGGAGUACGGCAAGAAGCUAGCGAGCACGGUGUACGAGAAGGUCGCCGGCGUCGGCACGGCCGUGGCGAGCAAGGCCCAGCAGGUGACGACAUCCGCCGGCACCGCGGUGCUUCACGGCGCGGCUCCAAGGACCAACACGAAUGUGAUGUGA
rnacentral:rRNA from 1 species